AGCGGAGGGAGUUGCCAUAGAAACGGAGCGCCAACACAACAACUGACAAGCAGGGAAUCACUGACUUUUGCUGCUGUUUUCAAAGCUUUCGCCUUUCAGGAGAGGAAAAAAACCUCAGCAACAGGGGAAGCUCCAAGAUUUAGCAAUUUCUGAAGGCAGAAGAACUGGGAAAGCUUCUUAAAUUUUUAAGAAGGCUUUGACAUCCAUAAUUACAAGACAUUACGCCAGUUCCAGUUUGGAUCCAGCCUUCAGAAGAUGCUAAGACUCACGAUGACUUCAGAAGAUGCUAACACUCACGAUGACUUCAGAUGAUGACAACUAAAGAUGAACAUACAAGUCUGCCAAAUAAUAUCCUUAUAUUGUGAUCAUUGCCCUA